UGGGGAAUUUUGGACAAUUGGGCGAAAGCCUGAUCCAGCAAUGCCGCGUGUGUGAAGAAGGCCUUCGGGUUGUAAAGCACUUUUGUCCGGAAAGAAAUCCUUGGCUCUAAUACAGUCGGGGGAUGACGGUACCGGAAGAAUAAGCACCGGCUAACUACGUGCCAGCAGCCGCGGUAAUACGUAGGGUGCAAGCGUUAAUCGGAAUUACUGGGCGUAAAGCGUGCGCAGGCGGUUUGCUAAGACCGAUGUGAAAUCCCCGGGCUCAACCUGGGAACUGCAUUGGUGACUGGCAGGCUAGAGUAUGGCAGAGGGGGGUAGAAUUCCACGUGUAGCAGUGAAAUGCGUAGAGAUGUGGAGGAAUACCGAUGGCGAAGGCAGCCCCCUGGGCCAAUACUGACGCUCAUGCACGAAAGCGUGGGGAGCAAACAGGAUUAGAUACCCUGGUAGUCCACGCCCUAAACGAUGUCAACUAGUUGUUGGGGAUUCAUUUCCUUAGUAACGUAGCUAACGCGUGAAGUUGACCGCCUGGGGAGUACGGUCGCAAGAUUAAAACUCAAAGGAAUUGACGGGGU
rnacentral:rRNA from 1 species